AUCCUACGGGAGGCAGCAGUAGGGAAUCUUCCACAAUGGACGAAAGUCUGAUGGAGCAACGCCGCGUGAGUGAAGAAGGGUUUCGGCUCGUAAAGCUCUGUUGGUAGUGAAGAGAGAUAGAGGUAGUAACUGGCCUUUAUUUGACGGUAAUUACUUAGAAAGUCACGGCUAACUACGUGCCAGCAGCCGCGGUAAUACGUAGGUGGCAAGCGUUGUCCGGAUUUAUUGGGCGUAAAGCGAGUGCAGGCGGUUCCAUAAAUCUUAUGUGAAAGCCUUCGGGUCCACCCGGGCA
rnacentral:rRNA from 1 species